UCCAGCUCCAAUAGCGUAUAUUAAAGUUGUUGCAGUUAAAAAGCUCGUAGUCGGAUUUCGGGGCGGGGCGACCGGUCUGCCGAUGGGUAUGCACUGGUCGGCGCGUCCUUCCUUCCGGAGACCGUGCCUACUCUUAACUGAGCGGGGGCGGGAGACGGAUCGUUUACUUUGAAAAAAUCAGAGUGUUUCAAGCAGGCGUCUCGCCUUUGCAUGGAUUAGCAUGGGAUAAUGAAAUAGGACUUUGGUGCUAUUUUGUUGGUUUCGAACACCGAAGUAAUGAUUAACAGGGACAGUCAGGGGCACUCGUAUUCCGUCGAGAGAGGUGAAAUUCUCAGACCAAUGGAAGACGAACAACUGCGAAAGCAUUUGCCAGGGAUGUUUUCACUGAUCAAGAACGAAAGUUAGGGGAUCGAAGACGAUCAGAUACCGUCGUAGUCUUAACCAUAAACCAUGCCGACUAGGGAUCGGAGGAUGUUAGAUUUGACUCCUUCGGCACCUUACGGGAAACUAAAGUCUUUGGGUUCCGGGGGGAGUAUGGUCGCAAGGCUGAAACUUAAAGGAAUUGACGGAAGGGCACCACCAGGAGUGGAGCCUGCGGCUUAAUUUGACUCAACACGGGGAAACUUACCAGGUCCAGACAUUGUAAGGAUUGACAGAUUGAGAGCUCUUUCUUGAUUCGAUGGGUGGUGGUGCAUGGGCCGUUCUUAGUUGGUGGAGUGAUUUGUCUGGUUAAUUCCGUUAACGAACAAGACCUUAGCCUGCUAAAUAGUUACGCGAACUCUCUGUUUGCGGCCAACUUCUUAGAGGGACAACUUGUUUUCAACAAGUGGAAGUUUGAGGCAAUAAC
rnacentral:rRNA from 1 species